UACAGAGGAUGCGAGCGUUAAUCGGAAUUACUGGGCGUAAAGCGCGCGUAGGCGGCUUUGCAAGUCGGGUGUGAAAUCCCCAGGCUUAACCUGGGAACUGCAUUCGAGACUGCAUUGCUAGAGUAUGGGAGAGGGAAGUGGAAUUUCAGGUGUAGCGGUGAAAUGCGUAGAUAUCUGAAGGAACAUCAGUGGCGAAAGCGACUUCCUGGACCAAUACUGACGCUCAUGUGCGAAAGCGUGGGGAGCAAACAGG
rnacentral:rRNA from 1 species